rnacentral:pre_miRNA from 1 species
AUAAAAUGAAUACUUACGUGCUUUGUUGAUGAUUUUCCUGUUGGCUGGUUCCAGUCCUCUCCGAAAGUGUCCGGGUAUCUGAAAUUCAGAUACCUGGGCAUUUUUGGAGAGGAUUGGAACCAACCCACAGGAAAAUCAUCAACAAAGCACGUAAGUAUUUAUUUU